rnacentral:rRNA from 1 species
UAGGGAAUCUUCCGCAAUGGGCGAAAGCCUGACGGAGCAACGCCGCGUGAGUGAUGAAGGUCUUCGGAUCGUAAAACUCUGUUAUUAGGGAAGAACAUAUAUGUAAGUAACUGUGCACAUCUUGACGGUACCUAAUCAGAAAGCCACGGCUAACUACGUGCCAGCAGCCGCGGUAAUACGUAGGUGGCAAGCGUUAUCCGGAAUUAUUGGGCGUAAAGCGCGCGUAGGCGGUUUUUUAAGUCUGAUGUGAAAGCCCACGGCUCAACCGUGGAGGGUCAUUGGAAACUGGAAAACUUGAGUGCAGAAGAGGAAAGUGGAAUUCCAUGUGUAGCGGUGAAAUGCGCAGAGAUAUGGAGGAACACCAGUGGCGAAGGCGACUUUCUGGUCUGUAACUGACGCUGAUGUGCGAAAGCGUGGGGAUCAAACAGGAUUAGAUACCCUGGUAGUCCACGCCGUAAACGAUGAGUGCUAAGUGUUAGGGGGUUUCCGCCCCUUAGUGCUGCAGCUAACGCAUUAAGCACUCCGCCUGGGGAGUACGACCGCAAGGUUG